GCUCCCUUCGUCUAAUGGUUAGGACGCUGGCCUCUCACGUCGGUAAUAGGGGUUCGAAUCCCCUAGGGAGCACCA
rnacentral:tRNA from 2 species